rnacentral:rRNA from 1 species
AUUGAACGCUGGCGGCAUGCCUUACACAUGCAAGUCGAACGGCAGCACGGGUGCUUGCACCUGGUGGCGAGUGGCGAACGGGUGAGUAAUACAUCGGAACGUACCUUAUCGUGGGGGAUAACGCAGCGAAAGCUGUGCUAAUACCGCAUACGCCCUGAGGGGGAAAGCGGGGGAUCGAAAGACCUCGCGCGAUUAGAGCGGCCGAUGCCUGAUUAGCUUGUUGGUGGGGUAAAAGCCCACCAAGGCGACGAUCAGUAGCUGGUCUGAGAGGACGAUCAGCCACACUGGGACUGAGACACGGACCAGACUCCUACGGGAGGCAGCGGUGGGGAAUUUUGGACAAUGGGGGCAACCCUGAUCCAGCAAUGCCGCGUGAGUGAAGAAGGCCUUCGGGUUGUAAAGCUCUUUUGUCAGGGAAGGAACACCGGCUCUAACACAGUCCGGGAAUGACGGUACCUGAAGAAUAAGCACCGGCUAACUACGUGCCAGCCGCCGCAGUAA